rnacentral:rRNA from 1 species
UGCGUAGGUGGUUGGGUAAGUUUGAGGUGAAAUCUCCGGGCUUAACCCGGAAAUGGCCUUGAAUACUAUCUGGCUUGAGGGUUGGAGGGGAGACUGGAAUUCUCGGUGUAGCAGUGAAAUGCGUAGAUAUCGAGAGGAACACCAGUGGCGAAGGCGAGUCUCUGGACAACUCCUGACACUGAGGCACGAAAGCUAGGGGAAGCAAACG